GUAUAAGUCCGCUAGUGUCCGCACACAGCAGCUCAGUCAGUCCCAGACACAGCUGCAGUGCUGAGUACUAAGGGCGGUGCUUAGCCUGUAGCACGGGGCGAACGUCGAGUUUUCGGUUGGAAAGAAGCUCUUGAUUUGGCGAAAGACUCGGAGUUUACUCUCUCCUUUUUUCUACGUGGAGCGGAUAUAAACACGGUUGACUGCCAGCAGAUGAACUAACUCUGUUAUCACCGGGACUACAAAUGAUGAACUGUCUUUUGUAAAAACGUAGAAUGUGCAUGUUCGGAAGGAAACCCUCAAUACAUUCAUUUUAAGAACCUUCCCUCAAGUAUUGGAACUUCAGGAUUUUAAUAGCAAGGAAGGAUUCUCCUCUGACGUCUUCCUCAAGUUGAUGGUACAAAAACACCAGGUGAAUGGAAGACGACCCAAUAUGAACAUCCUAUCUUACUAAAAGUUUUGGCUGAAUGCAGAAAGAAUGAAGAAAGGACUCCAGUGCUACCCAAUGAACCUCAUCACACAUUAUCCAAUGGGGAAAAGUCUUCUUGGGCCUUUAAUCACAGGGAGAAAAUAGAUGUCAGAAACCCUCAGAAAGUUCUAAAACAAACUACAAUUGUACAACAAAUGUUGCAAAGUCACCAUGCCAUUAGUGAGAAAGAAAUACUUCCUUCCAAAAUAAAUUAUUUGUCCAAUGAAAACAAAUUUAAACAAUCUCAAAAUGUCGUGACCAAACAAAAGGAAGAAAAAAUGUGCUCUCAGAAAAGUUUCAAUUUGGAGGAUGCACCCCAAAGUUGUUCAAAGAAGUCCCCCAUUGUAUUUAAAGACCCAAUGCAUGAAGACGUUUCAGAUGUUGAAAACCACAAACAGCCGGACAAAAAGCUGGCAAGCCCAGGUUUUGACGAAUCUAGCAAUUCUGUAGUGUGUGAGGAUGACAGUGCUGAGGAAGAGAGUUUUCCAGAUCACUCCCCCAUUGUAUUAAAAUACCCAAUGUAUGAAGAUAUUUCAGACAUUGAAGACAACAAACAGCUGGGCAAAAAGCUUGCAAGCCAAGAUUUCUGUACUAAGAAAGAGAGACCUUUGAAACAGAAUGGAUUCACGUGUAAUGAAACAGAUAUUCAGCUAAUUUCAGAUGAUGAACCGAUUCCAGACACAGAAUCUACUGAUACUGGACCAAAUUGUUGUUGUCCAUAUUUAGUUGAAACAGAAACUGGUUUUGAGUGUCCAAAAUGUCAAAACAAAAAAGGAGCUUUGUUUUCUAGUCAGAGUAAGAGUCUGGAUACAAAAUCCUUAUCAUUUUCUGAAGGUGUAAAGGCCAAUUUGGAUGGGCAAACCAGCCCAGUAUUAAUUUUAGAAAAUAAUGACCAAGAUGAUCUAGAAGAUGAUUGGCUUGUCAUUCCUUUGGUUGUAUCUGACAUUAGAUUGGAUCAACCCUGUGAAGACCAAACUGAAACAGAAGUUCUGUCAGCUCAAGGUGAAGAUGGAGAUGAGGAAAAAAAAGGUUGGGGAACUCCAUUGAACUUUUCAGCUUCCAACUCUUUUCAUCAGUCUCAAUAUUUUAAUACAGCUGAGAGCUGUGGGCAGGUGCAAGAUGUAGGACAUGAGCAUAAAGCGCAUAUUUCCAUGAGCUGUGAUAAUUCUGACCUUCAUUCAGAUACUAGCAAUGAAACUGAUGACAGUUGCAAUUAUUCCCCUACUCGAGAGCGAAACCUUUUAACUGUACCCAGGCAGAUUUGGGCUUCAAGAAGUUUGUCAUCACCAUUACAAUUGAAUAAUGAUUUCCACCUUGAAGAAAAGCAUGGACAUGAGAUGACAAACACUCAAAGAGUGAAACUACAAAAUAAAACCCCAAAGAUAUUUGAUACAAUUGAAUCUCAUUCAGAUGAAGUCAGUGAAAUAAGGAACGAGGCAAGAAAAAAUCCUUCAAAUGAAAAGAGAGAAUUAAUUGGUUCUUCUGUGACUAAUAUUGUCAGUUAUGAAGAUGCUAGCACUGAAACUUCUGGAAAGACGACUAACUUGUCAGUGGAUGCUGGAAGCUCUUCAGGUGUUAAGCUUGGGAAGAAAAAUGCAAACAAGUAUCAGCAUGAUCCAUUUGAAAAUGGCAUGCAAUCGGAAGCAUCUGGAUUUCAAUUCGAUAAAAUUGAUGGACAAUGUCAUGAAGUCAAAUCUUCGAGCAAUUAUGCUUUGCCUGUUAAGAAUGCUACCAAAGCCUACAAGAGGAAACAAAAGGCCAUCAGUAGACAUGCAAAGAAAGUGAGGGCUCACUCACCAUUCUCGGCAGCAACGGAGGACACUGAGGAUGCCUGUUCCAAUGCUUCAGACAGUUUUGGUGGGGAAAGUAAAGAUGACAGCGUGGCGCAUGAUAAACUAGCAGGAGUUAAACACGAAACACAGACACUUUUGAAAAGAAUGAGUGAGCUCACCAAAGAACAACCAAAAGCUCCUAUAAAAAAACCAAAACCACUGGACUCAUCAGAAAACGAAACCGAAGACAGUGAGGAUUUAUCGGAUGCAUCAGACAAUAUUUCAAAUACCAAAAAAAAUCAAAUUAAACCCAUGAUUGAAAAAUGUGGAUUUCAAGCUAACAAAAAUGAACAGGCUUCCAACCAGUGUGUGGAACAGUGUCUACCAUCAACAUCAAAGCUUUUAGAUAACACUUUCAAAUCAAAGCCAGAGUUAAAGUCUUGCCAAGGUAUAUCUGGAUCUCGACCACAAAUGUCUAAAUAUAUUCGUUCCUUCUCUUACCCCUCAUCUUCAGGUCGUUGUAUCACACUAUCAGCAAAUGAUAAAGUGAAAGAAAGUUGGAAAGAAGGCCACAUUGAAACCAAAAUCCACAGAAGGGCGAGAUUAGGGAGAGAAGAUAUGACAUCCAAAAUGAAUUUGGUCAGCAAACUUGCUCCCAGUACCAGCAAAUUUUCAAGGGCACCAAAAAAAAGGCACAAUUCCCAGAAGUCUGAAACGCCCUUAAUGAAGAAGACAAGAUCUGAGGCAAAAGAGAGGACCAGAGAAAUUAAAUGUCACCGUUUAAAGCACCAAAGGUAAUCCAGUUGCUCGCCAUAACAAGUGGAAAGAACCCGAAGACAAAGCUGUUUCCAGGAGGAAAAAAAGAUGUCCCUCCCCCUCACUGCUUGAGGACUAGGAAUAACAAUUUUACAAGCUCAAGUAUGAAUACGACUGUUUAAAGCUGUAAAGGGAAGUUGGUGUCAUUCCCUCUUAUUUAUCAACGUGGACUCUGAUUUAAGUUUCUGUAUGUCUGUAUAUAAUUUCAUCCCUUGGUGUAUUUGGUUCCUAUGUUUUUGAAAAAGUACAUUAAUUGUACAUGUUGAAAUGAUUUGCUCUGUUGUAAUAAUUGUUCAUACUUGUAGACUUUUACUUUUUUAUUGUAUUUUUUUACUUCUGUAUUGUCAACUCUUAUGACAGUGUUUGAAUUUUAUAAUUAAAAUAUACUGUUUUAUUCAUAGACCCACUAAACUAAAAGCAGGAUUUUUUUUAAAUUUUCUUCCUGUAUUUUACCCCGACAACAUGAAUGAAAUCAAUAUUUGGGGAAUGGAUAUCCUUUUAGUAAAGCAGAAAGACCUUGGUGUUUCUAUAUGUCUGACUAUUACUAGCCUUCACUGGUUAAAAAAAAAAUAAUACUAGUAAAUAAAAAAGCCAGGAAGAGAGAAGAAAAAAAUAGG
ensembl:lncRNA uncharacterized LOC114464883